AGAGUUUGAUCAUGGCUCAGGAUGAACGCUAGCGGCAGGCCUAAUACAUGCAAGUCGAACGGGGUCCUUCGGGGCCCAGUGGCGCACGGGUGCGUAACGCGUAUGCAACCUACCUUCAACUGGGGGAUAGCCCGGAGAAAUCCGGAUUAAUACCGCAUAACACCUUUUGAUGGCAUCUGAGGAAGGUUAAAGAUUCAUCGGUUGAAGAUGGGCAUGCGUGCCAUUAGCUAGUUGGUGGUGUAACGGACCACCAAGGCGACGAUGGCUAGGGGUUCUGAGAGGACGGUCCCCCACACUGGCACUGAGAUACGGGCCAGACUCCUACGGGAGGCAGCAGUAGGGAAUAUUGGGCAAUGGGCGGAAGCCUGACCCAGCCAUGCCGCGUGCAGGAUGAAGGCCUUCUGGGUUGUAAACUGCUUUUACCAGGGAAGAAAACACCCAUGCGUGGGGAACUGACGGUACCUGGGGAAUAAGCACCGGCUAACUCCGUGCCAGCAGCCGCGGUAAUACGGAGGGUGCAAGCGUUGUCCGGAUUUAUUGGGUUUAAAGGGUGCGUAGGCGGCCUUUUAAGUCAGUGGUGAAAGCCCGGGGCUCAACCCCGGAACCGCCAUUGAUACUGGAAGGCUUGAGUACAGACGAGGUAGGCGGAAUUGAAGAUGUAGCGGUGAAAUGCUUAGAUAUCUUCAAGAACACCGAUUGCGUAGGCAGCUUACUAGGCUGUGACUGACGCUGAGGCACGAAAGCGUGGGGAGCGAACAGGAUUAGAUACCCUAGUAGUCC
rnacentral:rRNA from 1 species